UGGUGGGUAGUUUGACUGGGGCGGUCUCCUCCUAAAGAGUAACGGAGGAGCACGAAGGUUGGCUAAUCCUGGUCGGACAUCAGGAGGUUAGUGCAAUGGCAUAAGCCAGCUUGACUGCGAGCGUGACGGCGCGAGCAGGUGCGAAAGCAGGUCAUAGUGAUCCGGUGGUUCUGAAUGGAAGGGCCAUCGCUCAACGGAUAAAAGGUACUCCGGGGAUAACAGGCUGAUACCGCCCAAGAGUUCAUAUCGACGGCGGUGUUUGGCACCUCGAUGUCGGCUCAUCACAUCCUGGGGCUGAAGUAGGUCCCAAGGGUAUGGCUGUUCGCCAUUUAAAGUGGUACGCGAGCUGGGUUUAGAACGUCGUGAGACAGUUCGGUCCCUAUCUGCCGUGGGCGCUGGAGAACUGAGGGGGGCUGCUCCUAGUACGAGAGGACCGGAGUGGACGCAUCACUGGUGUUCGGGUUGUCAUGCCAAUGGCACUGCCCGGUAGCUAAAUGCGGAAGAGAUAAGUGCUGAAAGCAUCUAAGCACGAAACUUGCCCCGAGAUGAGUUCUCCCUGAGACUUUAAGUCUCCUGAAGGAAC
rnacentral:rRNA from 1 species